GGGACGGGAUUCCAUUUACGAUCCUGCAGACUCCGUCACACCAUCGGUAGACUCUACACUAAAGUCUUUGAUAUAGAGAAGAUUCAUCCACUCCCACACACAACAUCCAAAAAUACAUAGUGUAUGAGAACUGCAUCAUGGAGUUGUUUACUGUAUGUCCGGUCUGCACUCGGGCAUGUGAUGUGAGGACCCAAAGGCUGGGGACAUUCCUGUCUGUGAAGCAGCAGUGUCCCCAUUGCACAUUUAGAAGACACUGGAAUAGCCAGCCUAUCCUUGGAAGCACGCCAGCUGGAAACCUGCACCUUUCUGCCGCUGUGUACCUCAGUGGGGCAUCUUUCUUAAAAAUCUAAAAGGUCUUCAAGGCAAUGAAGCUACACUUGUUAUGGUAUGAAACAUUUUGCCGGCAUGCCAGAGCUUUCAUUGAACCGGCAGUUAUUCAUCACUGGAAAGUCACACAGGAUGUGAAUCUGCAGAGGCUAAGUCAGGAGGAAAAAGUGAUACUUGGUGGUGACAUGAGGGCUGACUCAUGGUAUUGUUACUUUACUGAAAUAGUGUAGUUUAUACAGGGGUUCAAAGGAGUGACCUAAAAAAAAUGCCAGACAUAAUACCAAA